AUAAUCCACACAUACUCAGGGAAAGUUCCAAGAUGGUGUUCACACCUCAGCUCCUUGGACUUCUGCUUUUCUGGAUUUCAGCCUCCAGGGGUGAUAUUGUGCUAACUCAGUCUCCAGCCACCCUGUCUGUGACUCCAGGAGAAAGCAUCAGUGUUUCCUGCAGGGCCAGCCAAAGUAUUAGCAACAACCUACACUGGUAUCAACAAAAAUCAAAUGAGUCUCCAAGGCUUCUCAUCAAGUAUGCUUCCCAGUCCAUCUCUGGGAUCCCGUCCAGGUUCACUGGCAGUGGAUCAGGGACAGAUUUCACUCUCAGCAUCAACAGUGUGGAACCCGAAGAUUUUGGAAUGUAUCACUGUCAACAGAGUAACAGCUGGCCUCACACUGUGAUGCAGACCAUAGCAAAAACCACCAGGAAUGCAGAACAGCGAGGCUUCAGCUGUUUUUGGUGGUACCUCAACCUUCUUCAUAGUGGAAACAAAACUAAUGGGGCCUGCUCCUAUAGCCUGCUUGACACUCAGACACCAAUGAUGACAGACAAAGUUCAUGAUCAGAGCAACCAAUCAGAUAGUACCAACUACAUGGAGGCCAACAUGGCCUCAGUGGAGG